AAAGGAGUGGGACAGGCCCAUCCCUGUAAACCCUUGGGGUUUCUAGGUGAGGACAUGAGCCCAGUCAGUGUCUGGAGCUUCUGGUCUCAGUCCAGUGCUUUUCCUACCCCUGAAAUGAAGUGCUAGUCCCCUCACCAGCCACCUCGGGCUCAGGCAGGUGUCACCUGUAUGGCCUGUAGGACCUCGCUCAUUCAGCCAUUC
rnacentral:lncRNA from 1 species